rnacentral:misc_RNA from 1 species
CACAGUGCUCGCACGAAAACACGCCAGCAAGUAAGCGAUCGUCCAUGAAGACCGGUGGCCUUAAGCGAUAUCCAUGGGGCUCGAGGCUUCUUCGACGUUUGCGGCCGAAGAUCCAACGCCGUGUCACUUGGCGCCAGCUGUGGGUGUUCGCGGGAUUCCGGAGCUGCCGACGGCGUUACCCUGGGCGUUACCACCAAAGGCCCGCACCGUUGCGGUUCACUAUGAAAGGAAAGGCGCAGUGGCCUCUGCAACCUGGCAUGUACGGGACACCUCAGCAGACGGCCGACUCAUCCUCCGAGACACGCGGCUUUUUUCAUACAGCGCUGAGAAGGCGACAGACAUCAGACGCCGCGACUUGCCGACUGCUCUGCGUCGAGACACGGGACGCCAAACGAAUUCCCGAUUGGAGACGCGUCGCCGCCUUGCCGAGCGAGAUUAUCGCGUCGCCCAGAGCAAACCAAUGCCAGAAGCGUCACAGACUGCUCAGGGAGGCAGAACGCGUCGACGUCAGAGGACGCCAGGACUGCUGUCGUCUGCUUCGGGGUACGACGACGAGGUUCAUCCUGUCUGUCUCCGCCAGCGGGCCGGCAGCCCUCGCGCGUCGAACCGGCCAUUCCCAACUGGAGCGCUUGCGAUUUGCAGUCGCUCGAGCCCGCAGCUCCGGAGGAAGUGCCCGCGUCGCUUCGCACUUCCACAACGGAUGCGUCGCGGCGACAUCCCAGCGUCUGCGCCUUCGUGUGCGCGAAACUCCGCACAAGUUGCCAAACGCCGUCAGGUCUCGCCGCUCUUGGCCACUGCUGUCGGAGGAUCCGGAAGUGGUUUCGGAUAUCACUGAUCAGCUGACACCACACGAAACCAAGAACGAGCUCCGACGAGGCUGCGUCCUGCGGUGCACGACAGACUGGUCCUCGGACUGUCAGCUCCGGGGCGAAGCAGGUCUUCGUCAGACGCUUUCGAAUGCCUGCGCGCUGCAGCUGGAAGGCUCAACGCAGGUGGUUUCAAGUCAUGCGGUGGGUGCAGGUUGCCAGCAGUGAAAGAAGCAGGCCCGCGUCGCGCAGGUGACGAAUCGACCAAGUCUGGGCCGAUGGUGCACUGCGCUGGUCAGCUCAAGUAAACUGUGCCGGAGUUUUGAUCGUAGAACAUUUAUGGAACGUUAUGUCUUCGUAGUUGCUUAGUUACAAUAAAUUGUUUGCGUAGCA